UUACAAAACAAUAGAUUAAUUUUACAAUGAAAAUGUAAUGUUUUUCUUAAACUAUAUAAAUAGAAAU
rnacentral:tRNA from 2 species